rnacentral:miRNA from 1 species
GUGACAGAGUUAGGGAGGGAGUGACUAGUGACAGAGGGAGGGAGAUGGUGACUGUCACUAGUCACCCCAUCCCUCCCUCUGUCACUAGUCACUCCCUCCCUAACUCUGUCACU